UUUGGAUGUGGGCCAAUCUGAGAGAGGAAAUGUCCUUAAAGGAUUAGAUCUCGGUGUUGAAGGCAUGCAUGUUGGAGGGCAGCGACUGCUAAUAGUUCCUCCUGAGCUGCUUAUGGAAGUAAAGGAGUCCAGGAAAUCCCUCCAAAUGCAACAAUAGAGGGGUGUCUAGACCAGCUUACGCACACUUCAACUAAUCCCUUAAAGCCUUAAAGUGAACAGCCGAAUAAAUCCUCUCAAUGGUCAUCCCUAUUAGUGCCUAGGGGUGUAUCUCAACUAAUCAUUCUAGGCCCUGAACUGAACAAUCAGGUAAAUCCUCUCAAUAGUCAUCCCUAUUAGUGCCUGAGGGACUCGAACUUAGAAACCUAUGUUGGACCCCUUUGCUCUUUUACCAGCAGACCACUUAAUGAUGGUUUUUCUAGACCCUUUUGCUCUUUUACCAUCAGGCUACGUAAUGGUGGUUUAUUUGCUAUUACAUUCCUUCUACCUUUCCAUUGAUGUCUCCUACACUUCAUCUUUACAUUUAUCUUUCAUUU